rnacentral:tRNA from 1 species
GGGGGUGUAGUUCAGUGGUACAACAUGUGCUUAGUAUACACUAGACCUUGGCUUCAAUCCUCAGCACCCCUC